UGAGGAAUAUUGGUCAAUGGAGGCAACUCUGAACCAGCCACGUCGCGUGAAGGAAGACGGCCCUACGGGUUGUAAACUUCUUUUGUAAGGGAAUAAAGCGAGCCACGUGUGGCUUUUUGCAUGUAUCUUACGAAUAAGGAUCGGCUAACUCCGUGCCAGCAGCCGCGGUAAUACGGAGGAUCCGAGCGUGAUCCGGAUUUAUUGGGUUUAAAGGGUGCGCAGGCGGGAGAUUAAGUCGGCGGUGAAAUUUUGCAGCUCAACUGUAAAAGUGCCUUCGAUACUGGUUUCCUUGAGUGUGGAUGAAGUAGGCGGAAUUUGUGGUGUAGCGGUGUAAUGCUUAGAUAUCACGAGGAACUCCGAUUGCGCAGGCAGCUUACUAAACCACUACUGACGCUCAGGCACGAAGGCGUGGGGAUCAAACAGG
rnacentral:rRNA from 2 species